UCCAGACUCCUACGGGAGGCAGCAGUGGGGGAUAUUGCACAAUGGGGGAAACCCUGAUGCAGCAACGCCGCGUGAGUGAAGAAGUAUUUCGGUAUGUAAAGCUCUAUCAGCAGGGAAGAGAAUGACGGUACCUGACUAAGAAGCCCCGGCUAACUACGUGCCAGCAGCCGCGGUAAUACGUAGGGGGCGAGCGUUAUCCGGAUUUACUGGGUGUAAAGGGAGCGUAGACGGCUGGUCAAGUCUGAAGUGAAAGCCCGGGGCUUAACCCCGGAACGGCUUUGGAAACUGAGCAGCUAGAGUGCUGGAGAGGGAAGCGGAAUUCCUAGUGUAGCGGUGAAAUGCGUAGAUAUUAGGAGGAACACCAGUGGCGAAGGCGGCUUACUGGACAGUAACUGACGUUGAGGCUCGAAAGCGUGGGGAGCAAACAGGAUUAGAUACCCCAGUAAAG
rnacentral:rRNA from 1 species